rnacentral:rRNA from 1 species
AUUAAAUGGCCGCAGUAACCUGACUGUGCGAAGGUAGCAUAAUAAUUAGUCUUUUAAUUGAAGGCUUGAAUGAACGAUUGAAUGAAAAGUUCACUUUAUUAAUUCAAAUUUUAUAAUUUAAUUUUUAGGUUAAAAAGCCUAAAUAAUUAAGUUGGACGAGAAGACCCUAUAGAACUUUAAAGUAUCAAUAUUUAUUUAAAAUUAGGAUAUUCUAUAUUAAAUAAAUGUCUAUAUUUUUAUGUUGGGGUGACAUUAAAAAACAUAUAACUUUAAAUAUAUUUAACAUUAAUAUAUGUAUUAAAUGAUCCAAUUUUAAUAUUAUUGAUUAAAAGAAAAAGUUACCUUAGGGAUAACAGCGUUAUUAUUUUUUAGAGUUCAUAUCAAUAAAGUAGUUUGCGACCUCGAUGUUGGAUUAAGAAUAUAAUUUGGAGCAAAAUCUAAAUUUAUAAGUCUGUUCGACUUUUAAAUUCUUACA